rnacentral:rRNA from 1 species
CCAGACUCCUACGGGAGGCAGCAGUGAGGAAUAUUGGUCAAUGGGCUUACGCCUGAACCAGCCAAGUCGCGUGAAGGAUGACGGCCCUACGGGUUGUAAACUUCUUUUGUCAGGGAGCAAUUGGGUCCACGCGUGGGCUUAGCGAGAGUACCUGAAGAAAAAGCAUCGGCUAACUCCGUGCCAGCAGCCGCGGUAAUACGGAGGAUGCGAGCGUUAUCCGGAUUUAUUGGGUUUAAAGGGUGCGUAGGCGGAAUAUCAAGUCAGCGGUAAAAAUUCGGGGCUCAACCCCGUCGUGCCGUUGAAACUGCAUCCCUUGAGUGCGCGAGAAGUAUGCGGAAUGCGUGGUGUAGCGGUGAAAUGCAUAGAUAUCACGCAGAACUCCGAUUGCGAAGGCAGCAUACCGGCGCGCAACUGACGCUCAUGCACGAAAGCGUGGGUAUCGAACAGGAUUAGAUACCCUUGUA